AGCCGUGUUUCGAGUUCCUCCGGAACACCCGGGAUUUUUCGUAUUUAGCCACGCCGGUCACGUGAUAUGAGCAAAAUGUUCCACAGGGGUACUUCCGGUUAAUUUUGUUUACACUGGUAACAAAAUUGUUUUUGACAAAAUAUAGAUUUUGCGGCACAAACUGUCGCAAAUCAGAUAAAGGAUAGCAAGGGAUAUAUAUUUACUUGGGAAGAUGUCAAAGUUUGCCUUUUCCCAAACCCGGGAAAAGCGUUCACGCAGAGGAAACGGUGGCGUCAUUUGUGUAGAAAACCACGAGCAGCCGAAAUUGAGUGCGAAUAUUACAUUCCGUGAAAGCUGAACCAACAAAGAAACAUCAUUGUUCUAGCCAGUUUCCUUAUAUUAACUUUUAGGAAAACCAAGAGGUUGAUAACAAUGGCUGAUCUGCAUAUAAUGACUGCUAGUUAUUGGCUGGUAUGCAGUGAAAGGGAGCUAAAAAGGAGUAAAAAGUUCAUAUCAGCCAGGUGAGAAUUAAUUUCUUCUUUUUUGUGUGUUAUACAUAUGUAAUUCUUUUCUUUUGCUGCUUCAAAUCUUGUGUAUUUGAAAAUUUUCAGUCUAAUAUUUUGGCAAUGUUAUAGGUAGUGUGGCUUAAAUAAACCACUGUUAAGGAAUAUCCAGUAAUGGCAUGACAUCAUGAGAGUUUGGCAUACCGACAUUCAGAUGAUUAAUGAUGAAACUGAAGACCUCAAGUGAAAGGCAUGGAAAAUGAUCCUGUUCCCAUAUACCUGAAAAAGAGGAGGGAUGCCACAAUAUUGAUAAUAGACUUUUGUCAAUUUGAGAAGCAAAGAUGUAAAAAAAAAAAAAAAAAAAAAAAUAAUGCUGAAAUUAUAAUUCAUGUAUUUGUUAAAAAUACUGUUCACUGUACAUACAUGUAUAUUUUUUAAAACUUAUUUUUAAAUACAUGAAGUAAUUCAUAUUAAAACUGUGAAUGUA